AGAUGGUCUGUUCAAUUUGGAAUCCAUAGGAAGCACUGAAGUUAAAAUGUUCAACAACAUGACAUUGACAACAAGGAAGGGUCCUCUCCAGGGACUGGAUGAGUGUGGUAUAUUUAGCAUAUUCCUUCAUGGGAGCGAGGUUCCAGAUUGGUUCUGCCACAAGUCGAGCAUGGGUGACUCUGAGCUGUCUAUAACUAUACCUCCACAUCGUAAU